rnacentral:rRNA from 1 species
GACGUAGGGGGCGAGCGUUGUCCGGAUUUAUUGGGCGUAAAGCGUGCGUAGGCGGCUGCGCAAGUCGGGUGUGAAACCCCGGGGCUCAACCCCGGAACUGCAUCCGAUACUGCGUGGCUAGAGGUAGGUAGGGGAGAUCGGAAUUCCUGGUGUAGCGGUGAAAUGCGCAGAUAUCAGGAGGAACACCGGUGGCGAAGGCGGUUCUCUGGGCAUUACCUGACGCUGAGGAGCGAAAGUGUGGGGAGCGAACAGG